AAGUCGUAACAAGGUUUCCGUAGGUGAACCUGCGGAAGGAUCAUUACCGAGUAAGGGUCACUAGUUGGCCCGACCUCCAACCCAUUGUCUACGUACCAAGUUGCCUCGGUGGGCCGCCGGCGUGGUUCCCUGACGGGGCCCGCCGCCUCUGGCUUUGCGGCCUCUGUGCGCCCGCCGAAGGAGUCCCAAAUAUCCUUUGAAAUCAGUCAUCUGAGGCGAAUUUAAAUACUUCAAAA
rnacentral:misc_RNA from 1 species